UGGGGAAUAUUGCACAAUGGGCGCAAGCCUGAUGCAGCCAUGCCGCGUGUAUGAAGAAGGCCUUCGGGUUGUAAAGUACUUUCAGCGGGGAGGAAGGGAGUAAAGUUAAUACCUUUGCUCAUUGACGUUACCCGCAGAAGAAGCACCGGCUAACUCCGUGCCAGCAGCCGCGGUAAUACGGAGGGUGCAAGCGUUAAUCGGAAUUACUGGGCGUAAAGCGCACGCAGGCGGUUUGUUAAGUCAGAUGUGAAAUCCUCGGGCUCAACCUUGGAACUGCAUCUGAUACUGGCAAGCUUGAGUCUCGUAGAGGGGGGUAGAAUUCCAGGUGUAGCGGUGAAAUGCGUAGAGAUCUGGAGGAAUACCGGUGGCGAAGGCGGCCCCCUGGACAAAGACUGACGCUCAGGUGCGAAAGCGUGGGGAGCAAACAGG
rnacentral:rRNA from 1 species